rnacentral:rRNA from 1 species
AGAGUUUGAUCCUGGCUCAGAUUGAACGCUGGCGGCAGGCCUAACACAUGCAAGUCGAACGGUAACAGGAAGCAGCUUGCUGCUUUGCUGACGAGUGGCGGACGGGUGAGUAAUGUCUGGGAAACUGCCCGAUGGAGGGGGAUAACUACUGGAAACGGUAGCUAAUACCGCAUAACGUCGCAAGACCAAAGAGGGGGACCUUCGGGCCUCUUGCCAUCGGAUGUGCCCAGAUGGGAUUAGCUAGUUGGUGAGGUAACGGCUCACCAAGGCGACGAUCCCUAGCUGGUCUGAGAGGAUGACCAGCCACACUGGAACUGAGACACGGUCCAGACUCCUACGGGAGGCAGCAGUGGGGAAUAUUGCACAAUGGGCGCAAGCCUGAUGCAGCCAUGCCGCGUGUAUGAAGAAGGCCUUCGGGCUGUAAAGUACUUUCAGCGGGGAGGAAGGGGAUGUGGUUAAUAACCGCAUCCAUUGACGUUACCCGCAGAAGAAGCACCGGCUAACUCCGUGCCAGCAGCCGCGGUAAUA